CCUACGGGAGGCUGCAGUGAGGAAUAUUGGUCAAUGGACGAGAGUCUGAACCAGCCAAGUAGCGUGAAGGAUGACUGCCCUAUGGGUUGUAAACUUCUUUUAUAUGGGAAUAAAAUGUUCCACGUGUGGGAUUUUGUAUGUACCAUAUGAAUAAGGAUCGGCUAACUCCGUGCCAGCAGCCGCGGUAAUACGGAGGAUCCGAGCGUUAUCCGGAUUUAUUGGGUUUAAAGGGAGCGUAGGUGGAUUGUUAAGUCAGUUGUGAAAGUUUGCGGCUCAACCGUAAAAUUGCAGUUGAAACUGGCAGUCUUGAGUACAGUAGAGGUGGGCGGAAUUCGUGGUGUAGCGGUGAAAUGCUUAGAUAUCACGAAGAACUCCGAUUGCGAAGGCAGUUCACUGGACUGCAACUGACACUGAGGCUCGAUAGUGUGGGUAUCAAACAGGAUUAGAUACCCUAGUAGUC
rnacentral:rRNA from 1 species